GGGGUUGUGGCUCAGCGGUAGAGCGCUCGCCUCAUACGUGCAAGGCCCUGGGUUCGAUCCUCAGCACCA
rfam:Ictidomys tridecemlineatus contig003434, whole genome shotgun sequence.